GGAGGCGUACGUGUCCUGGUGGGCACCCUGGUCUUCAAAACCAGUGAAGUUGAGAAUCUCGGCUUGGCGGGUUCGAUUCCCGUCCGUCUCC
rnacentral:tRNA from 1 species